UGAAACACAGUUCCCAUCACCAAAGUUAAGCAAUGUUGAGCCUGGUCAGUACCUAGAUAGGUGACUACUUGGGAAUACCAGGUGCUGUAAG